rnacentral:tRNA from 1 species
GGUGGGAUGGCUGAGCGGUCGAAAGCGCUUGCUUGGAGAGCAAGUGUGCGCGAAAGCGUACCCUGGGUUCGAAUCCCAGUCCCACCGCCA